ACUGAACGCUGGCGGCAUGCCUUACACAUGCAAGUCGAACGGCAGCACGGGAGCAAUCCUGGUGGCGAGUGGCGAACGGGUGAGUAAAGUAUCGGAACGUGCCCAGUCGUGGGGGAUAACGUAGCGAAAGUUACGCUAUACCGCAUACGAUCUAUGGAUGAAAGCGGGGGAUCGCAAGACCUCGCGCGAUUGGAGCGGCCGAUAUCAGAUUAGGUAGUUGGUGGGGUAAAGGCCCACCAAGCCGACGAUCUGUAGCUGGUCUGAGAGGACGACCAGCCACACUGGGACUGAGACACGGCCCAGACUCCUACGGGAGGCAGCAGUGGGGAAUUUUGGACAACGGGCGAAAGCCUGAUCCAGCCAUGCCGCGUGCAGGAUGAAGGCCUUCGGGUUGUAAACUGCUUUUGUACGGAACGAAAAGGACUGCCCUAAUACGGUGGUCCCAUGACGGUACCGUAAGAAUAAGCACCGGCUAACUACGUGCCAGCCGCCGCAGUAA
rnacentral:rRNA from 1 species